AGACAGAAGCUCUCCAUAACAUGUCUUCCUCUAUUGCUAGUGCACUGGUGCUCAGAGGACAUAAAGUUAGAAAAAAAACAUACUGCUAGUGUUUUUAUUACGCUGCAUGAAACCCUUCACAAACAAUUUCUUCUGUUUGAUCCUGCAAUCUGCUUGUUGUCACAUUAUUGUACAGGACGUGAUCUGAAGAGGAAUGCAGCUAAAACAGAAGCAAAGAGUGAUGCAGUGAAUGAAUGCGAUGACGCUGAACCCUCAGAGAAGAGCAACAACAGCGCUAUAACCAACAGGGCAGGAACCUCAAAUGAGGACUUCACGAGGAACAAAGAAAAGCAAGAGAAGGCUUCUGAAGAAAUCAACAGAAAGAAACAAUGCCAAAGGGAGACUGAAGCACUAUUCGGCAGACUUCACCUUCAAGAACGACGACAGCAGAAGUUGUCAUCGGCAGACGUUCUUCAGUUAGUUCCAUCCGUGAACCAGCACCAUGAUGUGUCUGAGAAAGAUCUUCCUCAUGCUUUUCUUCAAAGGCUGAUGAUGUUAGAUUACAGGGCCAGAUAUAUUCCUGUAAGACCAGACAGUCCUGAGGUGGUCCAUCCAAAGCUUGAGCCAGUGCUUAAAACCACCGAGACGGAGGACAGUUAUUUAGAGGCUUUUUUGAGCACCAACACAGACACACAUCAGACAAGAACAAGUCAUGUGCAUCCGAUGGAUGUUCAGAUGGCAGUAUUUCACUGCUCAGACAACUUCCUCAAGCAGAUCAUAAUUAAAAAACUGUCACAGUGUCA